rnacentral:tRNA from 7 species
GGGUGUAUAGCUCAGUUGGUAGAGCAUCUGACUCUUAAUCAGACGGUCCAAGGUUCGAAUCCUUGUGCACCCACCA